AUUGAACGCUGGCGGCAGGCCUAACACAUGCAAGUCGAGCGGAUGAUGGGAGCUUGCUCCCGGAUUCAGCGGCGGACGGGUGAGUAAUGCCUAGGAAUCUGCCUGGUAGUGGGGGACAACGUUUCGAAAGGAACGCUAAUACCGCAUACGUCCUACGGGAGAAAGCAGGGGACCUUCGGGCCUUGCGCUAUCAGAUGAGCCUAGGUCGGAUUAGCUAGUUGGUGGGGUAAAGGCCUACCAAGGCGACGAUCCGUAACUGGUCUGAGAGGAUGAUCAGUCACACUGGAACUGAGACACGGUCCAGACUCCUACGGGAGGCAGCAGUGGGGAAUAUUGGACAAUGGGCGAAAGCCUGAUCCAGCCAUGCCGCGUGUGUGAAGAAGGUCUUCGGAUUGUAAAGCACUUUAAGUUGGGAGGAAGGGCAGUAAGUUAAUACCUUGCUGUUUUGACGUUACCAACAGAAUAAGCACCGGCUAACUUCGUGCCAGCAGCCGCGGUAAAAC
rnacentral:rRNA from 1 species